rnacentral:pre_miRNA from 1 species
UUAACUCAAAUUUGUAUGGAGUUGGAACAGCGCCCCUAGCGGCAAACGUAAGCAAACGUUCCAACUCCAUACAAUUUUGAUUUA